rnacentral:rRNA from 1 species
GAUGAACGCGCGCGGCGUGCCUAAUACAUGCAAGUCGAGCGAACAGAUGAGGAGCUUGCUCCUCUGAAGUUAGCUGCGGACGGGUGAUUAACACGUGGAUAACCUACCUAUAAAACUGGGAUAACUUCGGGAAACCGGAGCUAAUACCGGAUAAUAUAUUGAACCGCAUGGUUCAAUAGUGAAAGACGGUUUUGCUGUCACUUAUAGAUGGAUCCGCGCCGCAUUAGCUAGUUAGGAAGGUAACGGCUUACCAAAGCAACGAUGCGUAGCCGGCCUGAGAGGGGUCCACGGCCCCACUGGAACGGCGAAACGUUCCGACCACUGAGGGAGGGCAUAGCCGGGAAUUGUGCCGCGAGGGCGAAAGCCUGACGGAGCAACGCCGCGUGCGUGAUGAAGGUCUUCGGCUCGUAAAACUCUGUUAUUCGGGACGAACAAAUGUGUACGUAACUAUGCACGUCUUGACGGUACCUAAUCAGAAAGCCAGGGCUAACUACGUG